rnacentral:rRNA from 1 species
GCGUAAGCGCACGCAGGCGGUUUGUUAAGUCAGAUGUGAAAUCCCCGCGCUUAACGUGGGAACUGCAUUUGAAACUGGCAAGCUAGAGUCUUGUAGAGGGGGGUAGAAUUCCAGGUGUAGCGGUGAAAUGCGUAGAGAUCUGGAGGAAUACCGGUGGCGAAGGCGGCCCCCUGGACAAAGACUGACGCUCAGGUGCGAAAGCGUGGGGAGCAAACAGGAUUAGAUACCCUGGUAGUCCACGCUGUAAACGAUGUCGACUUGGAGGUUGUGCCCUUGAGGCGUGGCUUCCGGAGCUAACGCGUUAAGUCGACCGCCUGGGGAGUACGGCCGCAAGGUUAAAACUCAAAGUGAAUUGACGGGGGCCCGCACAAGCGGUGGAGCAUGUGGUUUAAUUCGAUGCAACGCGAACAACCUUACCAACUCUUGACAUC